AGCGAACGCUGGCGGCAGGCCUAACACAUGCAAGUCGAACGAACCCUUCGGGGUUAGUGGCGGACGGGUGAGUAACACGUGGGAACGUGCCUUUAGGUUCGGAAUAACUCAGGGAAACUUGUGCUAAUACCGAAUGUGCCCUUCGGGGGAAAGAUUUAUCGCCUUUAGAGCGGCCCGCGUCUGAUUAGCUAGUUGGUGAGGUAAUGGAUCACCAAGGCUACGAUCAGUAGCUGGUCUGAGAGGAUGACCAGCCACAUUGGGACUGAGACACGGCCCAAACUCCUACGGGGGGCAGCAGUGGGGAAUCUUGCGCAAUGGGCGAAAGCCUGACGCAGCCAUGCCGCGUGGAUGAUGAAGGUCUUAGGAUUGUAAAAUCCUUUCACCGGUGAAGAUAAUGACUGUAGCCGGAGAAGAAGCCCCGGCUAACUUCGUGCCAGCCGCCGCCGUAAAAC
rnacentral:rRNA from 1 species